GUAGAUAUAGUUUAACAAAAACACUAGAUUGUGAUUCUAGCAAUAGGGGUUAAUAUCCCCUUAUCCACC
rnacentral:tRNA from 1 species